rnacentral:rRNA from 1 species
AUUGAACGCUGGCGGCAGGCCUAACACAUGCAAGUCGAACGGUAACAGGAAGACGCUUGCUUCUUUGCUGACGAGUGGCGGACGGGUGAGUAAUGUCUGGGAAACUGCCUGAUGGAGGGGGAUAACUACUGGAAACGGUAGCUAAUACCGCAUAACGUCGCAAGACCAAAGAGGGGGACCUUCGGGCCUCUUGCCAUCGGAUGUGCCCAGAUGGGAUUAGCUAGUAGGUGGGGUAACGGCUCACCUAGGCGACGAUCCCUAGCUGGUCUGAGAGGAUGACCAGCCACACUGGAACUGAGACACGGUCCAGGCUCCUACGGGAGGCAGCAGUGGGGAAUAUUGCACAAUGGGCGCAAGCCUGAUGCAGCCAUGCCGCGUGUAUGAAGAAGGCCUUCGGGUUGUAAAGUACUUUCAGCGGGGAGGAAGGGAGUAAAGUUAAUACCUUUGCUCAUUGACGUUACCCGCAGAAGAAGCACCGGCUAACUCCGUG